rnacentral:rRNA from 1 species
UGGGGAAUUUUGGACAAUGGGGGCAACCCUGAUCCAGCCAUCCCGCGUGUGCGAUGAAGGCCUUCGGGUUGUAAAGCACUUUUGGCAGGGAAGAAACAGCCUGGGAUAAUACCCCGGGCGACUGACGGUACCUGCAGAAUAAGCACCGGCUAACUACGUGCCAGCAGCCGCGGUAAUACGUAGGGUGCAAGCGUUAAUCGGAAUUACUGGGCGUAAAGCGUGCGCAGGCGGUUCGGAAAGAAAGGUGUGAAAUCCCAGGGCUUAACCUUGGAACUGCACUUUUAACUACCGAGCUAGAGUACGUCAGAGGGGGGUAGAAUUCCACGUGUAGCAGUGAAAUGCGUAGAGAUGUGGAGGAAUACCGAUGGCGAAGGCAGCCCCUGGGAUGAUACUGACGCUCAUGCACGAAAGCGUGGGGAGCAAACAGGAUUAGAUACCCUGGUAGUCCACGCCCUAAACGAUGUCAACUAGCUGUUGGGGUUUAUUAACCUUAGUAGCGCAGCUAACGCGUGAAGUUGACCGCCUGGGGAGUACGGUCGCAAGA